rnacentral:tRNA from 1 species
GCCGCGGUAGCUCAGUGGUAGAGCUCUGCUCUGAAGAAGCAGGAGUCGUCAGUUCGAUUCUGACCCGCGGCACCA